rnacentral:rRNA from 1 species
GAUGAACGCUAGCUACCCGUUUAAGACAUGCAAGUCGAGGGGCAUCAGGAAGAAAGCUUCCUUUCUUUGCUGGCGACCGGCGCACGGGUGAGUAACACGUAUCCAACCUGCCCUUUACUCGGGGAUAGCCUUUCGAAAGAAAGAUUAAUACCCGAUAGCAUAAUGAUUCCGCAUGGUUUCAUUAUUAAAGGAUUCCGGUAAAGGAUGGGGAUGCGUUCCAUUAGGUUGUUGGUGAGGUAACGGCUCACCAAGCCUUCGAUGGAUAGGGGUUCUGAGAGGAAGGUCCCCCACAUUGGAACUGAGACACGGUCCAAACUCCUACGGGAGGCAGCAGUGAGGAAUAUUGGUCAAUGGGCGCUAGCCUGAACCAGCCAAGUAGCGUGAAGGAUGAAGGCUCUAUGGGUCGUAAACUUCUUUUAUAUAAGAAUAAAGUGCAGUAUGUAUACUGUUUUGUAUGUAUUAUAUGAAUAAGGAUCGGCUAACUCCGUGCCAGCAGCCGCGGUAAUACGGAGGAUCCGAGCGUUAUCCGGAUUUAUUGGGUUUAAAGGGAGCGUAGGUGGACUGGUAAGUCAGUUGUGAAAGUUUGCGGCUCAACCGUAAAAUUGCAGUUGAUACUGUCAGUCUUGAGUACAGUAGAGGUGGGCGGAAUUCGUGGUGUAGCGGUGAAAUGCUUAGAUAUCACGAAGAACUCCGAUUGCGAAGGCAGCUCACUGGACUGCAACUGACACUGAUGCUCGAA